rnacentral:rRNA from 1 species
ACACGUAGGGGCCUGACGUUGUUCGGAAUCAUUGGGCGUAAAGGGCGCGCAGGCGGCCGUCCAAGUCCGGUGUUAAAUGGUCGGGCUCAACCCGAUCAUGCGCUGGAAACUGGGCGGCUUGAGUCCCGUAGGGGAUGCCGGAAUUCCAGGUGUAGGGGUGAAAUCUGUAGAUAUCUGGAAGAACACCGAUGGCGAAGGGAGGCAUCUGGCCGGAGACUGACGCUGAGGCGCGAAGGCGCGGGGAGCGAACAGGUUUAGAUACCCUGGUAGUCCGCGCAGUAAACGAUGCGCACCAGGUGUCGGGCGGCAGCGCCCGGUACCGGAGCUAACGCGAUGAGUGCGCCGCCUGGGGAGUAUGCCCGCAAGGGUGAAACUCAAAUGAAUUGACGGGG